UCUAUCCGAACUUCCAUAGCGGAUGGAUUCCGGAUGAGCUUCUACAACAGACGGGCUCCAGCAGCUGGAUUUCUAUAACGGUCGAUUGCCUCUGGUAUCACCCAAACCUCCCCAGCCAUCAACCUUCAAUAGCGUCAGUCGGACUUCAACAACGCCAUCCGGACUUCAACAGGAUCUCCCAGACUCCUCCAGCGGAUGAACCUUCCCAACGCCAUCCGAAGUCCACCACCGACCGACCCUCUAUCAGAUUCCUCAUGAAACUGGACUUUCCCAACAGAAAGUCCCCAUCC
rnacentral:lncRNA from 1 species